UAUGCCUAAAAGGGCUGUACAAACAGACAGCGGAGGAUUGGUUCAGAAAAAUCAUCUCUGCAACCUUUAGAAUGCUAUUCACCAUACUAGAAAUGAGGCUACCCCCCCCCCCACAGGAAACUGACAAAAUGCCAGUAACGGUGCUCAGAAAAUGUUUUCAUAUGCUUCAGCUGGCUUCAAAGGAAAAGAAAAGAAAGAAAAAAUCAUGUACUUAAGUAGUUCACAACGCAAGAGACAAUAGAUUUUAUUUGAACAAUUAUAAUCUUUUCCCCAAGUCCUGUUGUAGCUGUGCAGACUUUAGUUUUUGGGGAAACUUACAAGAAUGGGGAAAAAAGAGACAUUUGAGUCCUUCUAAAAGCAAACUACGUUUAAAGGGUUUAACCCUCCUACCUGCAACCCCAUUUCAUAUGUUUUUGUGACAGCAACAUGUUGGAAAAUUUGUAGAACUGCAUAUUUUAAUUAAAUGAAUGUCUGUCAACUAAAGAAUUCAGGAUAAGGUAGAAGGAAGUUAUACUGAAUUGAGAUUUGUGUGUAAAGACAUUGUUUGAAUCUAACACUACGUUGGAAGACAGGCUGCAACAUCUCAAUAACUCUCAAACCUCCGGCAGAGAUGUGUGGCGUAACCCCCCUUAUUUGGUUACACAAGCGAUUCUGCAUGAUUUGUAUUUGCACAACUUGCUUUCUCCUGCAACCUGCACUUAGAGACUGUGGCUGUGCCUGGCUGGUGUUGCCAUUUCGGACAUUCUAUUGUGUGACAUUGUGUGACCAAGACCGUUGCUGUGAAAGUAGGGAGAAAAAGAUGUUAUGCUUUGGAGGUCCACGUUUCAGGUUACAAAAACACUACUGCUCUAAAUGCUUUGACUUUAAAAAAUUUUAUGUCUCACGGAAACAGCCCGUUGCUACAAAGCAGCUGUAAGUUUUUUCUUCUUCUAGAAACCACAAGACUUUGCAUAAUUUGAAAAACAGGCUUCAGUAUCCUAGCAGAACUCAGCCGUCGGCAGCUGGAUGGGAGGCAAAUACGGAUUUAAAGGACCCCUCCUUAACCCUGCACAUGCAUGAAGUUCUGUGGAAGGAAAGAGAAACCACGAGGAGAUCCUGAAAGAUGGACCAGACGUGGAAUCCUGUUGCAAGCCUUGUGAAAUUCGGCAAAGACUGCUGUAAGGCACUGCUGCUAUAUCCCAGAGAUGACUUCUCAACUAACUGCUGCUACAUCCCAGAGAUGACUUCUGUGUGCCAGACACACCUCAAUGUCCAAUACGUGGGACGCACUACCUCGGAGAGUUUGGUGGUGGACUUACCAGCAAGAAGUUCUAAAACAGCAGCGGCAGCUACAAGGACAAUCUCUCCCCCCCCUCCUUUGUUUUUUAUCUACAGGAAAUCACUCGAGCGAACAGCGUGUAGCCUUGCGGAGCCUGACACGAUGGUUCCAGCCUGACGCUAGCGAGUCCCUGAGUGAAUCCUUGAAGGAAGGGAGACGAGACCCUCUUCAUUCCUAGGUGGUGAGGUAUCCAUUCCAUCCGGUGAAAGUGCCUGAGAUGACCCCCUGGAUCCACACCCUGCUGUACCUAAUCAGGAGUGGGUACCCAGCGCACGGUGCACCAGUUUCCCCUUGCAGCGUCUGACCGGCAAAAGACGCCCAGCGCAUGGGAAACCGAAGUAGCCCCUGCUGUGACACUCCGGACGCUGUCACUCGACGCACGGGUUGAGGAAUGUCCAUCUUAUGCAGCACCAAACAUCAAGGAGACAAGGAGACGCAGUAAAUCUUAGACCCUUAUAUAUGUAUGUAUGUAUGUAUAUUUGUAUGGGAGGCAUCAAUUGAGUGGGACCCACAGUAGAAGUCUACCUGCCCCCAAAGCAGUAUCCUUAAUUUGGAAGGAAGGGCAGUGUACCUGCCUCACUUGAGCGAACAGACCCAAAACAGUUUCAGAAAUUGAACCAUGGGGUGGGUUCCAGCAACUCCCUAGGUGAUACAGGGCUAUAGCUGGGUUGGGGAUGUAACUGGAAGACGUUGGCCAGGUGCACCCCUCAGUUCUGGUUUUGGAAAUGAUGGGAGAAGCUUCUGGUAGCCCACUGAUAUCUAAUGCAAGCCUCUCCUGAUUCUGGCAAACUGGAACAAUAGCCAUUCUUUCUGUAGCCAAAUGCUCAGCUAGGACAAACCUCCAAUUGUUAUAUAUAUAUAUAUUCCUGGCCUUUAGAACUGUGUAGGAACUUUUGAAACCCACUGAUUUGCAUUGAAGCCCAGUACUGAGCUGAGAGAGAACUGUGUAUUUUCCUGCUGACAUAAAGUUUUGGAAACAGUGGCUAAAGCCCCUUGGCUUUUAGAUUUCCAGCAACUAUAGUAUCCUAGUAUCUCUGAAGACUAGUGUGGCCAUUAUAGAUUCAUGGCCCACCUGAGAGAAAGAACCCUUUGUUGCCAAAAUCUGUAUUGCGAUUUUUUUGUUGUGCCUCAAAUGGAAAUGCAAUGUAGUAGAAAGUGGCACUUGUGCUUCGAUAAAAAUGAUGUUUGUAUAAUGCAAAUAUGUGUUCCCUGUUAGGUCUAACACGAAGGCUAAAACCUUCAACAGAAAAUGCUUAGGAGUUAUGGAAAUAGAUUAAUCAAAAGCUGAACCAGGCUUAAAUUCAGCAAGCAUUUUUACUCUGCUUUAUAGCAUCAAGCUGAAGCAGGAAAAAAAAAAACUUUCAUGGUUAUUUUACACUGACAGUUCUGCAGACUGAAUGCCUUAAUCUA